GCUGACGAGUGGCGGACGGGUGAGUAAUGUCUGGGAAACUGCCUGAUGGAGGGGGAUAACUACUGGAAACGGUAGCUAAUACCGCAUAACGUCGCAAGACCAAAGAGGGGGACCUUCGGGCCUCUUGCCAUCGGAUGUGCCCAGAUGGGAUUAGCUAGUAGGUGGGGUAACGGCUCACCUAGGCGACGAUCCCUAGCUGGUCUGAGAGGAUGACCAGCCACACUGGAACUGAGACACGGUCCAGACUCCUACGGGAGGCAGCAGUGGGGAAUAUUGCACAAUGGGCGCAAGCCUGAUGCAGCCAUGCCGCGUGUAUGAAGAAGGCCUUCGGGUUGUAAAGUACUUUCAGCGGGGAGGAAGGGAGUAAAGUUAAUACCUUUGCUCAUUGACGUUACCCGCAGAAGAAGCACCGGCUAACUCCGUGCCAGCAGCCGCGGUAAUACGGAGGGUGCAAGCGUAAUCGGAAUUACUGGGCGUAAAGCGCACGCAGGCGGUUUGUUAAGUC
rnacentral:rRNA from 1 species